rnacentral:misc_RNA from 1 species
GAAGAGGAGAAGGAGAAAGGGUUCCUAGAAAGCGCAGAAAUAUCAAGUCACGACGGGUCGUUUCUGCAGUAACACCACCUAGUUCUACUUCUAAACCUUGUUCAAUGGAAUGACCAUACACGGCCUUGGGGUUGGCGUAUACCAUUUUGCCCAUCCCAUAUGUUAUAGGGAUCGUUGUUAUUUUUUGGGACAUGAAGGUGAC